rnacentral:misc_RNA from 1 species
GAUGAAGAACGCAGCGAAAUGCGAUAAGUAAUGCGAAUUGCAGAAUCCGUGAGUCAUCGAAUCUUUGAACGCACAUUGCGCCCUCUGGUAUUCCGGGGGGCAUGCCUGUUCGAGCGUCAUUUCACCACUCAAGCCUCGCUUGGUAUUGGGCAACGCGGUCCGCCGCGUGCCUCAAAUCGACCGGCUGGGUCUUCUGUCCCCUAAGCGUUGUGGAAACUAUUCGCUAAAGGGUGCUCGGGAGGCUACGCCGUAAAACAAACCCAUUUCUAAGGUUGACCUCGGAUCAGGUAGGGAUACCCGCUGAACUUAAGCAUAUCAAUAAGCGGAGGA